ACGAAUAACAUGGGGGACUGAAACAGGAAAAAUCUUGUCCCCAAAACGCUGCGUUGCAUAAGGACCGGAAUGAAAUUCGCGGGAAAUUAUGCAAUCCAAUUUAAAGAAAGAACAUAAACUAGCUUGAAAUCAAACGCAAACAAGGAGGACUUGGAGCGCAAAAAGACCAGAAAGGCUGGACGUGCGGAUCCUUCCCCGGGUCGGGUCACCGCGCGGGUUGCAGGCCUUUAACGACUCCAUUUUGAAACCAUAGCAUUGGCGUCAAACGACGU
rnacentral:lncRNA from 1 species